AAGUAUGCUUCUCUACCUUGCUGCUGUAUAUUUUGCACUGAGAAUUAGGGAUAAUUCAAUUCUGUUGGCUAAUAUUUCCAUGUUUAUACAUUCUUCUUAAUUAGACGUUUGUCUAGAUGAUCGGUUUUUAUGGCAAAAGUAAGAAUCUACUUUAUCCAGGAACGCCUACACAUUUGGGGUAGCACUGGAACAGAGCCAUGCUUGAGGUAAUCGACCUAACUUUGCACAGUAAAAUAUAAUAAGCUGUUCUGGCUGCAAGACACUACUGCUAAAUUGAGCACAGCGUGACUCUACUUUUGUUUAUAAACUGCAGAGAGGCGAAUAUUCACUGAAUGCCGUGGGGAUAUAAGAUCUUGCUUUCGUAUGUCUCUUGAUCUUAAAUGUUUUGCUUGCACAAUGCGAGAGGGAGAUUGUAGUUUUUCCCUAUUGGAUAUAUUGUUGUUGGAUUGCUUGCUCUUUAUUUUCCAUGUAUCUUAAAAUUGAAGGGUUUUUUUGUUUCACAAUCUACCAUUGUCUGACUUCUCUCAGCGUAGGUGCUCUUGUCUAAUAUGCGAAAGAGUUUUGGAGUUUCUGAUCGCCCCAGUUGAUGUAAAUCUUUGUCAUACUAUGUUAGAUAGUGACUAAUUUAUUGUAUAUGUAAGUUGGUAUAUGAACUUCAGAGCUUAGGAUUAGUUAUAUUAGAACCUUGUAGAGGGAAGUACUCAAAUUUAUUUCUAUUUAAGAAUUGUAAAUGGGCACUUUAAUGGGUUCGUUUAAAUCUACGGGUUUUAUCACUUCUUCCGCAAUUUACUAGGGUCAUUUUACCUCUUUAACAUUUAUUUAUAUUUGUAUAUAUAUACUUUAGGAUCUUUGGCUGUCUAAAAGAUUCUUACACAAGCAGCCACAACGAGAGCAUUGAUGUUCAUGGGUGCUGAAGGUAGUUUUCAUUGAUCCUUUUAUCCCACAUUCAAAAAUACUGCAAGGAAAAUAUUUCUUUGAAAUUCUGUAUCUCAUCUCAUCAGGUUGCAUGCAUGGUGGCAAAAUGAAACAUGCCCGGCAGAUGUUCGUGAGUUCAUCUCACACCUCAGAUAUUCAAUCUGCCUCUGAGUUUGCCUGCCUGCUUUUCUCUGUUCAUGGAUCUACAGGUUAAAUUAUUCAUUCAUUCUUCUCUGGUUUUGUUCAUGAUCUGUUCCUGGAGUUAGGGAAAUAAGUCCUUGUGUGCCUGCAUAUACGAUGGCCUUCUCUUUUGCACCUAAACAAGAAUCAUUUUUACUGUAUCUAUGUUUUUAGUAGAAGCUGUACCUGUACCAGAUCAUUCAGUGAUGAUCCUGGUCUUUGAUUUACUUCCUCAGGUUCAGUUGGAACCUGUUCUUUGGGGUAUUAGGACGGCACAUGGCGAGCCCCCUCAUUAUUUUAUAUCACGAGCUGGUAAUUUUGCAACAUAUUUAUUCUGAAGAAAUACUGAUAUAUUGUUCUAUCCUUUACACUUCUGCAGUAUAAUUCAAUCCAAUAUGCAGAUAAUAUUAGUUCUUUUUGUAUUGUUUCUAAAUUGACUUUCCUUGAACACUAUCUGAUGGUUUCUGCUUUUGUACUCUAUUAUACAACAUGCGGACCAUCAUUAUUAUAUCCAUUUGCGUUGGCUUGUGAUCUUCCAUAGGUACCUAAGUUCACUGGCUUCAGUAGCACAUUAUAAUGAUAUGCAUGGUCUAUUGUUUAUUUUUCUCUCUUUCAAAACUUAAAACUUGAUGAAUCUAGGAAAGCGGUAUUUUUUUCAUUCUCAGCAAUGGAAUGCAAUAUAACUUCUGAACUUUUACUUCAUCACUCUGAUGUAGGUCAUGUCUUAUGGGACUCUUUAUAGUGUUUGUCAUGUCUAUACGUUCACAUGCUAACAGUGAGAGGGGGUAAAACUGAUAAAUUCUUUCUGGUUCGUAGCACCAUGUAUGCACAAAUACAUAGCAGUGAUGCAAAAAGGUUCAAGCAACCCACCCAGUAGCAUGGUGUUUAUUCUCUGAAAGAUGUAGUCAACAAGUUAUCUGGAUAUGACAUUUACUGCCUUGUUAAAUAGGCUGAAAGAUUGGCAAGGGAAGCUUCUACUACCUCCAAUAUGUUUAAUGGAUGUGGAGUGUAGCUAUCGAAGUACUACAAUAGGCACUGUCCGGCAUCAAUUAAACACGAUUGGAUGGAGUAUUUCCCGGGUGAAUCGUUUAUAUUCGAUGAAUGGACUCUUGGAUGGUUUUCAGAUGCCCGGAGUUACUUAAAUGCGAUGCAAGUAUCAACAUUGGUUGCUUACAUUUCUAACAUGCAUCCUCCUACCAGAAUUCACUUUGGUGACUAUCCAAAUGUCUAUCUAAUGAAGGCUGCAGCCUAGAUGCUAAGAUGGAUGUGCUCUACUAUGCCAAGCCAUGACACAGCCUAGCACUGCAGCUGACCCUGGAGUGGACGGUCUGUUCCAGGCUUCGAGGAUUGUCGCAAUCGGUGAUGGGUGACGUGCUGACUUCUGGGACACCCACUAGAUUGAUGGGCGCCUGCCUUAAGACCUUUGGCUUGUGCUCUGGAGCCAUUCCACCGGUCGAAAUCUUCCAGUGUGUGAGGCUAGCACCGGCAACUUAUGACUUCGGUAUUUCAGAGGCUAAUGCACCUAUGCCGGUUCUCUACAACCUCAGCUAGCUUUGGCAGCACACUCAGCGCCUCAUGCUGGUCGACGACGAGGGCUACCGCGAUUUCCUCACCUGCCUGGUGGUGCAUCCAGCAUAACCCUUGCUGCCUAUUGUGCUCCAAUGCUCCUGAAUGGGCCGCCCAUAUCUAACCUCAUGUUGCUUUGCAGUUCAGUUGUGGACCAUGGUGGCGAAUGCCCUGGGAGCUCGUUGCAUUACCCUCCUAAUCACAUUGCAUGGCUCCUUGUACGGCAGCCACAAUACUCACUGUUUGGAUGAUAUGUAAGGAGCGUAAUGGCUGCUUCUUUGGACCAUGCUGCACCUCUGUUCGGCACGUUUUCGAGCAUAUGGUGGACUAGGAAAAAAAUGGUGACAUGCGGGCCUUUGCCAUCUCCAAUGUGAUUAGAGAGGCAGAUUAGAUGCUAUUAUAUUCAGCAUGAUGGAUGUUAAAUUCUUGAAAUUUGGGUCAGAUUUGUUCACUGCCCCUCUUAACAUUGUAAAUAACAUUUUGUUGUUUGUUUGCUCAUUUAAUGAAACACAGCCAAAGUUGCUUUGGUGAUUUUUUUAA